rnacentral:sRNA from 1 species
CGAAUGGCAGCCUCCAGAAAGCCGCCGCGAGUAAGGGCAAAUCACCAGGAUUUUCAGCUGAGAAAUUUAAGAAUAAUUGAACCUAACGAGGUGACACACUCAGGAGACACAGACAGCAGAAUGCCUCCGAAGGUGACUUCAGAGCUGCUUCGGCAGCUGAGACAAGCCAUGAGGAACUCUGAGUAUGUGACUGAACCGAUCCAGGCCUACAUCAUCCCAUCGGGGGAUGCUCAUCAGAGUGAGUAUAUUGCUCCAUGUGACUGUCGGCGGGCUUUUGUCUCUGGAUUCGAUGGCUCUGCGGGCACAGCCAUCAUCACAGAAGAGCAUGCAGCCAUGUGGACUGACGGGCGCUACUUUCUCCAGGCUGCCAAGCAAAUGGACAGCAAUUGGACACUUAUGAAGAUGGGUCUGAAGGACACACCAACUCAGGAAGACUGGCUGGUGAGUGUGCUUCCUGAAGGAUCCAGGGUUGGUGUGGACCCCUUGAUCAUUCCUACAGAUUAUUGGAAGAAAAUGGCCAAAGUUCUGAGAAGUGCCGGCCACCACCUCAUUCCUGUCAAGGAGAACCUCGUUGACAAAAUCUGGACAGACCGUCCUGAGCGCCCUUGCAAGCCUCUCCUUACACUGGGCCUGGAUUACACAGGCAUCUCCUGGAAGGACAAGGUUGCAGAUCUUCGGUUGAAAAUGGCUGAGAGGAACGUCAUGUGGUUUGUGGUCACUGCCUUGGAUGAGAUUGCGUGGCUAUUUAAUCUCCGAGGAUCAGAUGUGGAGCACAAUCCAGUAUUUUUUUCCUACGCAAUCAUAGGACUAGAGACGAUCAUG